CAUAUUAAAACAAAAGAUCAAUUAAAUUUGAUGAGUACUGAGCUAAUAGAGAAAUAAUAAUUGCUGUUUUAAUUGUUGAGAGAUUUCGAUUUUAAUUUUUGUAUUGGGUAAAGAGCCCCAAGGGUUCAAAAACGGAGCGAAGGCCGGACCUCUUGCAAGUGACUGCUUCUGGACUAACCAUGAAUUUGAUAUCAUUGAAGGAGCUCUCACUUAAGGACAUCUAGGGAGAGACACCAUACGAAUUCUACGCCUCCAUUGGAAGGAUGAAGAUAACGUGGAAAAAUUAUGUUAUGGGACAGAAGUGUCAGGAUUGCCAACACUGUCAGGUGCAUGAGCGCGCAAUGUACCCGUCUGACCUAUGCAAAGGAUAAUGGCUGGCACUGCAACAUAUAGGACACCCGGUAUCACGUUACUAGCUAUAGUACCAGGAGAAAACCCUUUUCGGAGGAUUAUUACUCAUUUAUUGUACUGCAUAAAUAGGGAUUCCUCUUCACUCGCAAAAUGAUCUGGAAUAAGAACUUAAGCAAUAAAAUGUACUUUAUAUUUGCUUUGCAAACAAAUUUCUCUUGCUCUUUACUUUCUUGCUUGUUUUAGCUCUCAAAGAAGGGAUCCUAGCUAUCAGAGGACACCGUUUGGGGUCUCAUUCACCGAUCUACUUAUUAUCAUUGCUUUACUUUACUUUCUUACGUUUAUGCACUGUGUUUUGUUAAAUAAAAUCGAUCCACUAGUAAACACAACAUAAACAGAGUUAGAUUUAAUGUUCGUGCUCUUGAGCUCAUAUACAAAUUUAAAUGUACCAUUUUCAAGACAAAAAGUUGUAAAUUGUAUUUCUUGAUGAUAUAUGUAGUCUCAAAGCAAUCGUGAAAUAUGGAACUAAAACAGAAAAUAAAGCAACUUAAAGUGUCAAAGUUCAUCAGCUCGAUUCUUUUAUCAACGCAAUUUAAAGCCAUUAUUUGCCAUGGAUGAUGUUAUGAAAGAUAAAUUAGGAAUAACUUUUGCUAAUAUAAUUUGUAUAAUGCAUAGUAAUUUAUGCAUCAAAGUUACCUUUAUUCACCUGGUCAGUCACGAUUAAAUAUAAUACUUUUCUUUAUUUAAUUAAUUAUAUUUUUAAUACACCUCCUCACAUAUUUGAUAGAGAGUGAUCACCAUAAGAAUUGUUAAAAAUGAAAAUACAUUUAUUUUUAUUUAAUUAUAUCUUUAACAAACUACUGGAAGUUUGCACUUAUGCAUACAAGAGCUAUUUAGUUAACAACCGGAAAUUAACAAAUCAAAAUGAGAAAAUACAAGCAGCACCACAUGAGCAGCUGAAUUCUCAAAUAGUCACCUCACUAAUAGAUAAUAUCUCAAAAAUAUAUUUUAAAAUAAUAAAUAUUAGUUGAGUGAUCAUCUGAAAAAAUCAACUAGCUAGAUCGUCUGUGGGAGCUGAGGGACAACAGGGCUUUCUUCAUCAUAAAAACACCAGCAUGAUGUCCACGACAAGAUCUCUGCCCUCGACUAGAAGGCAUCGUUGAAGAAGAUGACCAUGAAAAAGAUGAAGAAAAAUGGGAUUUGUUUGGAUUGAUGAACUUCUUGAUUAAUGUAUGGAAAAGCUUGGAUUUUGAAUUCUUACUAGGGAAAGUUGAUUUUGGUCAUUUAGAUUAUUUUUGUAGUAAGAAGGAGGGGGCGUAAGAGGAGGGGGCAAAUAAUCAGAAAGUGUGAUGUGUUUUGGAGUGCCAGGUUGAGAUUGCCAAAUGAAAGGAACACAACUUGGAACGUUAUCACCAUAGUAGAUUCUAGAAGAAGGGCUAUUGGUGGUUAGCUUAUUAGAAAAAUCAAGUUUAUUGGACAAGAAGUUGGUGUCUUCAUGCUUAAUUCUGAAUGAUUUCUGGCGAAAGUCGCUGACCAUAAUGAUCUUGGGUGUUUUGGCAGGGGAGUUCUUGAGAGAUGAUAUGCCUAUGGGGGACUGAGGAGCUUUUAGCUUCUGUUUGGACUAUGAGUUCAUUAUAGAGAGCAACCUCUCUCUCUCUUUCUCUCUUUCACUCUCUCUCUAUAUCUUAAGUCGUUUAUUUACCAACAUACAAAUAUAUAAUUACAAGUAAAUUUGUAUGAGUAAUGGAAAUUGAUAAAAAGAAUAUCUAACCCGUUAUGGUUGAUGUGUUGAACUGUGCGUAAUGUAAAUAGCUUUUAAACGACGGUAAAGGUUCAAAUUUA
rnacentral:lncRNA from 1 species